ACAGUGUUGCCCCUAGUUCUGGUCAUCAUGUUUUAAUGAAGAUAUGAAUAGGACUGGAAGAUGCUGUUCUGGGGGAAUAAGAACCAGGGAAUGCUGGGAAUGACUCCUGCUGUUUGUGUCCCAGGUAACGGAGGACAGAAGUCUGCAGCCAGAUCCUCUAACCUCCAUGUCUUCUCCUGGGGGUAACUUGUGCUACCAACCUCCCUGUGCAUCUUCACUCCGUCCAAACUUGGUGAAAGAAGGAAAAAGUCUCAGCUCCUAACUUCUGAAUCUGCAAAACAACUGCUGAAAAACUCAAGAGUCUUUUUCUUCCGAGGAGCAAGAAAGUGUAUGAAAAUGUGAUCUCAGAGAAAAAGCUGAAGAUGUUUUCCAAAUUAUCCCAGUGCUGCUACACUGAUGCAAAGAACCCAUGAGACCAGGUCGGGGAAAACAUACAAGCUCUGUGGCCACACAGACGAAGAAAGAAAGCUAUAACAGAUAAAUAAAGCCACACAAAAUGUAUUUCCAUUACCAAGAGGAAUUAAGCAAUUACUAGUACUAUUAAUUUGCUUCUCUAUCUCAAGAAUACUUACUCCCGCAAAGGAAAGGGGGAAAAUAAUUUUAGCCAUUUACAGAGAGCUCUUCAGUGGCAGUUUUAAAAAUUCCAGCAAACAGGAUGCUUUGAUCUCCUAGAAAAACCUAGGGUGCAUCUAACCAGAUAGCAAUUAUUAUGCUACCAAUUUCUAGCUGUUUCUGUCUGUCUAGAUUGAUGUUGAAAAUAUGUCUGUCUAUUCAUAUAUGUAUAGUCAUGUCCAGAUAUUCACAAACAUAUACAUACAUAUUUUAAACACCCCAUACUAACGUGCAAA